GACGAACGCUGGCGGCGUGCUUAACACAUGCAAGUCGAACGGAAAGGCCCUGCUUUUGUGGGGUGCUCGAGUGGCGAACGGGUGAGUAACACGUGAGUAACCUGCCCUUGACUUUGGGAUAACUUCAGGAAACUGGGGCUAAUACCGGAUAGGAGCUCCUGCUGCAUGGUGGGGGUUGGAAAGUUUCGGCGGUUGGGGAUGGACUCGCGGCUUAUCAGCUUGUUGGUGGGGUAGUGGCUUACCAAGGCUUUGACGGGUAGCCGGCCUGAGAGGGUGACCGGCCACGUUGGGACUGAGAUACGGCCCAGACUCCCACGGGAGGCAGCAGUGGGGAAUAUUGCACAAUGGGCGGAAGCCUGAUGCAGCAACGCCGCGUGCGGGAUGACGGCCUUCGGGUUGUAAACCGCUUUCGCCUGUGACGAAGCGUGAGUGACGGUAAUGGGUAAAGAAGCACCGGCUAACUACGUG
rnacentral:rRNA from 1 species